GCCUGGGUGGGUCACUCUCCACGCCCCCUCCUGACGUCCUGUGCCCGGCUGCUCUGCCAGCCGUUUCCAGCAGUCCUGGACGCGCAUCCCAUGCCAGCCCCUGCUGAGCCCCUCACAGAACAGUCCCGCCUGCCAGCAGGUCUCGGUAGCCCUACUGGGGAGGGGGACAGGAAGCUGAGCAUGUGUCCCCUCCCUCAGCCACACCCUCUGGGCAGCCCCGGGGAUUAGUGUCCAAAAAUAGUGGCCAGGCUGUCGUGCCUCAUUCUGGGACUCAGACACAUGUGCACACCGUGUCCUGGCGAGGGUGGGGGCCCUGGGGCCCAGGCAGGCCUGGGUGCAUCUGGCCGGCAACCUCACCUCCCUGGGUGUCUGCGCCAGGGUCCCAGGAGACCCUCCCGGAGCUGCCGGCCAGAGUCGCUGCAGGCGCAGUCCCCCCGCCUGCUGCGCCCGUGAGAGACCUGCUGAAUUUUAAAACCGCACCUUCAUCUCCAUGAGGCGCAGGCCCCAGGAGCCUGGUUCCUGCCCUCGCCUGCUCUUGCAGGAAUCAGGGGCGGAGAAGCCGCCGCUCUCUGGACAAGGAGCGUGAAACCCGUUCCUGGCCUGAGGGGUCCUGGGCAGGUCAUUCCCGAGUAGGCCUUGAGAGGCAGAUGGAAAGAAAAACGUGUGUGGAGUCUUGGUUCUCUGAGAGGGGCGAUUGCCCACCUCUCGCAGCAGGUGCAGCCGUUGGGUGGCACGGCCCAGCCGGGAGCUGGAAGGGAGCCUGGGGAUGGACAUCACCUCCUCUGCUCAGCGGGGCUUUGUGCGAAGCCUCUCGUGUGGUUUUGGGUUUUUAUUGACACAAGAGUAUUGGUGGAAACCCUGUAGCGUGUGCACACGAAUUACACACCAAUGCUGUGAUUGCUUGGCCUGGGGGACCUGGCAGCUUCCUGUACCCUCUGGGAAAAUGGGUUUGCCAAGAUGCCAGGAGUCCCUGUUUGCAACAAAAGGAGAUAAACUGUGGCAGGAACCAGGAAGAUGCCCACCGCCAUACACACCUGCGUGCCUCGGUCGCACUCACUUCAAAGCACCGUGCGCUCAGUCGGUCAGCCCUGGGCCCACAGACGUGUGUCACGACUCCUACCCGUUGUUCUCAUGGGACUUGCCCAGUUUGAGGGGCUCUCAUUGCCCUGCCUCACUUAGGGAUUGACUGUCCAAUCGCCCCACCACCCACCUCCUGGCGCCUGUCCCAACGCGCAGCUGGCUCAGGGCCCAGCGUGCUCCCCACAGCGAUGCCUCGGACUGAAGUGAAAUGGUUUUGGUCAGUCAGCAGGACAGCCUCUGCUUCCCGACCUGCGGCGCCUGCCUCCCUGGCUUGCACGAGCAUCGUCUGUGGGCUUGGUUACCCACGAGGGGGCCGCGGGGCCUGCUGUCUGUGGUGCCGGGACGAGCUGGCCUGGCAGGCUUCAGGCCCAGCGGGAUGCAGGCCGGGCCAGGCCACUGCGUGAUUUCAUGUCACAGGAGGAAGUGGCGGUGAGCGGCCGGCCCUGCCCCAGCUUGGGAAGGCUCCAAGGUGACGGUUUGUGAAGUCUGGGGCGGGAGUCCCAACACCAAAGGCGGAAACCACAAGAGAACAGACCUGACCAGCUAAAAGUUUAAACAACGAUUCCUGACCGGCAUCAAAAUGCUCUAGGGUUCCACUAAUAAAUGUGCUGUCUGCUGUUGGUUUGAGAGAGAUUUUUAUUCCAUGUGGAAAAGCACCUCUUGGGUUUAAAAAGAUUGUUUGUUUUUAAUAAGAAAUGGAUGUUGAAUUUUAUCACGUGCCUUCUCAAGUUGUAUUGGAAUGAUCAUGUUAUUUUCCUUUGACACGUUCCAGUGUGGUUUUAUGGUAACAGGUUUAACGCAUUCCUGAGACAAACCUCACUUUAAGGAGCUCUAUGUGGCUGCAGUUUGCCAGCAUUUUAUGUAGGGCUUUUGUGUUUAUUUGUAAGUGGAAGUGGUGGGUACCCAUUGCCCCCAGGCACGUGGGCAUGCCAUCUCAUGAGCUUUGGGAUCAAGGUUUUAACUUUUCAGGGAACUGGGGAGUUGGACAUCUGUUUCCAUGAUCUUAAGAAUGUGAAAGAGCUGCCGGCCUCUAGCCCCUUUUGUGAAAGUAAUUCUUUAAUCACAUUUUCCAUUUCUCUUCUCAGAUUUUCUACUUUUUAAGUCAAUGUUUGAUAGUUAAUAGUUUCCCAAAAAGCAUCCUAAUUCAAGGAUUUUCCAAUUUUUAACAUAUAUCUUUU